rnacentral:rRNA from 1 species
AAGUCGUAACAAGGUUUCCGUAGGUGAACCUGCGGAAGGAUCAUUAAUACAUGUUGAGCGCACUUUAAUGUGACUCUUUGUAUCACUAUUACCACCCAACCCAGAGGUGCAUUGUGGCCUUUAUGGUUAGCAGUGUAUCAGUACGUAUCCCAAAGGCAACUUUGAGUUACAUUACCCAUAAUUUACCCCCAUUUACACUUAAUAAGUUUUAAGAAUGAUACCUAUAAUUAUAUAACUUUCAGCAAUGGAUCUCUAGGCUCUCACGUCGAUGAAGAACACAGUGAAAUGUGAUACGUAAUGUGAAUUGCAUAAUUCAGUGAAUCAUCGAAUCUUUGAACGCACCUUGCACCUUUUGGUUAUUCCGAAAGGUACACCUGUUUGAAUGUCAUGAAACCCCCCUCGGCUCUAAUGCUUUCUAAAAGGAUUAGAGACGGAUUCUGAGUGUUGGCGUGAAUACGCCUCGCUUUAAAUAUAUCAGCACUUUUGGAUGGUUUAGAAUUAGUUCAAAAGACGUACUUGAUGUUGUAUUUAUAUUUCAUUGAGGCAGUCUUUGGUCUUUAUGACUAUCCGCUAAUACGAAAACUUGAAGAAUAGCUUCCUAACCCUAUUAAAUUACCCUUUAGACUUCAAAUCAGGUGGGACUACCCGCUGAACUUAAGCAUAUCAAUAAGCGGAGGAAAAAAAUAACUAUGAUUCCUUAGUAACGGCGAGUGAACAGGGAAAAGCCCAAAUUUGUAAUCUGGCACUUUUUACAAGUGUCCGAGUUGUAAUUUGUAGAGCUGUUAUCCGUACUGGACCAUGUACAAGUCUGUUGAAAAGCAGCAUCAUUGAAGGUGAAAAUCCUGUAGAUGAUAUGGACUACCAGUAUAUCUGUGAUACGGUUUCUAAGAGUCGAGUUGUUUGGGAAUGCAGCUCAAAGUGGGUGGUAAAUUCCAUCUAAGGCUAAAUAUAAGUGAGAGACCGAUAGCAAACAAGUACCGUGAGGGAAAGAUGAAAAGAACUUUGAAAAUAGAGUUAACAGUACGUGAAAUUGCUGAAAGGGAAACGUUUGAAGUUAGUUUUGUAUUCGUUGGAUCANCUUCGCAAGGAGUGUAUUCUGAUGAUAAGCAAGUCAACAUCAGUCUAUGAGUGUUGGAUAAGGGUUUUGAGAAUGUAGCAAUUUAAUUGUGUUAUAGCUUGAGACUUGGAUACAAUGCUUUGGAUUGAGGAACGCGUAGUAAGCUUUGAGCGGAUUCGAAAGGAUCUCCUUACUAUGGAUGUUGGUGAAAUAACUUUAAGCGACC